AUUGGGUCCUGAAUGAUGCGGAGAGAAUUAUUAUAGUGAGCAAACACCUCUGAAGAGAGGAACAGCACAAGGAACAGCCCUGCAGUACAACUGACCUGUUUUUCCAGGCUGAUUUCUGUUUGGCAGUUUUACAUUUAAGAGAGUUCCCACCGGAAGAAUUGCAAAUGUGUAGCAGACAGAAUGACUCUCACACUCACAGGUGGGAUGGGGAAUACGAUUUAUUUAGAUGCAGUGUGAACUGGUCAGGUAGCAAAAUUGUCCAUGGAAAUCUCUGGUGCUGCCUGUGACUAUUAAUAAUUUUUCCUUAUUGGCAUCAGCCCCUCAGUUUUUUGUCUCCCCUUGGUGAGGAGGAGAAAUAUUGGCCUCGUAAAGGAUUUCUUCCAGUUUGAAUUUUGUGCCAGUACAUAGUUUAUUACCAACAGUAUGCUUUUUCACACGGGCAGCAUGUAACACAGGAGCAAGC
rnacentral:lncRNA from 1 species